GGACUACACGGGUUUCUAAUCCUGUUCGCUCCCCACGCUUUCGCUCCUCAGCGUCAGUACAGGCCCAGAGAACCGCCUUCGCCACCGGUGUUCCUCCCGAUAUCUGCGCAUUUCACCGCUACACCGGGAAUUCCGUUCUCCCCUGCCUGCCUCUAGCCAGCCCGUAUCCACUGCAGGCCCAGGGUUAAGCCCUGGGAUUUCACAGCGGACGCAACUGACCGCCUACGAGCUCUUUACGCCCAAUAAUUCCGGACAACGCUUGCGCCCUACGUAUUACCGCGGCUGCUGGCAC
rnacentral:rRNA from 1 species